UACGGGGGAGCAAGCGUUGUUCGGAUUUACUGGGCGUAAAGGGCGCGUAGGCGGCGUAACAAGUCACUUGUGAAAUCUCCGGGCUUAACCCGGAGCGGCCAAGUGAUACUGUUGUGCUAGAGUGCGGAAGGGGCUACUGGAAUUCUCGGUGUAGCGGUGAAAUGCGUAGAUAUCGAGAGGAACACCUGACGGCGAAGGCGGGUAGCUGGGCCGACACUGACGCUGAGGCGCGAAAGCCAGGGAGCGAACGGG
rnacentral:rRNA from 1 species